ACGAACGCUGGCGGCGCGCCUAACACAUGCAAGUCGAACGAGCGAGAGAGAGCUUGCUUUCUCGAGCGAGUGGCGAACGGGUGAGUAACGCGUGAGGAACCUGCCUCAAAGAGGGGGACAACAGUUGGAAACGACUGCUAAUACCGCAUAAGCCCACGACCCGGCAUCGGGUUGAGGGAAAAGGAGCAAUCCGCUUUGAGAUGGCCUCGCGUCCGAUUAGCUAGUUGGUGAGGUAACGGCCCACCAAGGCAACGAUCGGUAGCCGGACUGAGAGGUUGAACGGCCACAUUGGGACUGAGACACGGCCCAGACUCCUACGGGAGGCAGCAGUGGGGAAUAUUGCACAAUGGGGGAAACCCUGAUGCAGCGACGCCGCGUGGAGGAAGAAGGUCUUCGGAUUGUAAACUCCUGUUGUUGAGGAAGAUAAUGACGGUACUCAACAAGGAAGUGACGGCUAACUACGUGCCAGCAGCCGCGGUAAAACGUAGGUCACAAGCGUUGUCCGGAAUUACUGGGUGUAAAGGGAGCGCAGGCGGGAAGACAAGUUGGAAGUGAAAUCCAUGGGCUCAACCCAUGAACUGCUUUCAAAACUGUUUUUCUUGAGUAGUGCAGAGGUAGGCGGAAUUCCCGGUGUAGCGGUGGAAUGCGUAGAUAUCGGGAGGAACACCAGUGGCGAAGGCGGCCUACUGGGCACCAACUGACGCUGAGGCUCGAAAGUGUGGGUAGCAAACAGGAUUAGAUACCCUGGUAGUCCACACCGUAAACGAUGAUUACUAGGUGUUGGAGGAUUGACCCCUUCAGUGCCGCAGUUAACACAAUAAGUAAUCCACCUGGGGAGUACGACCGCAAGGUUGAAACUCAAAGGAAUUGACGGAAGG
rnacentral:rRNA from 1 species